rnacentral:rRNA from 1 species
UACGUAGGGUGCGAGCGUUGUCCGGAAUUAUUGGGCGUAAAGGGCUCGUAGGCGGUUUGUCGCGUCGGGAGUGAAAACCCAGGGCUUAACCCUGGGCUGGCUUCCGAUACGGGCAGACUAGAGGUAUGCAGGGGAGAACGGAAUUCCCGGUGUAGUGGUGAAAUGCGUAGAUAUCGGGAGGAACACCAGUGGCGAAGGCGGCUUUCUGGCCUGUUCUUGACGCUGAGGCGCGAAAGCCAGGGGAGCAAACGGG